rfam:Fulmarus glacialis contig7391, whole genome shotgun sequence.
CCAAAGGCUCUUUUCAGAGCCACCCACAUGGUCAGAAAGGAGUUGU